AGUUUUGAUUGAGCUGCAUUACGAGAGGACCGGGAAGGACGCACCUCUGGUGUACCAGUUAUCGUGCCCACGGUAAACGCUGGGUAGCCAAGUGCGGAGCGGAUAACUGCUGAAAGCAUCUAAGUAGUAAGCCCACCCCAAGAUGAAUGCU
rnacentral:ncRNA from 1 species